rnacentral:rRNA from 1 species
AGCGGCGGACGGGUGAGUAAUGCCUGGGAAAUUGCCCUGAUGUGGGGGAUAACCAUUGGAAACGAUGGCUAAUACCGCAUGAUAGCUUCGGCUCAAAGAGGGGGACCUUCGGGCCUCUCGCGUCAGGAUAUGCCCAGGUGGGAUUAGCUAGUUGGUGAGGUAAGGGCUCACCAAGGCGACGAUCCCUAGCUGGUCUGAGAGGAUGAUCAGCCACACUGGAACUGAGACACGGUCCAGACUCCUACGGGAGGCAGCAGUGGGGAAUAUUGCACAAUGGGCGCAAGCCUGAUGCAGCCAUGCCGCGUGUAUGAAGAAGGCCUUCGGGUUGUAAAGUACUUUCAGCAGUGAGGAAGGAGGUAUCGUUAAUAGCGGUAUCUUUUGACGUUAGCUGCAGAAGAAGCACCGGCUAACUCCGUGCCAGCAGCCGCGGUAAUACGGAGGGUGCGAGCGUUAAUCGGAAUUACUGGGCGUAAAGCGCAUGCAGGUGGUUUGUUAAGUCAGAUGUG